rnacentral:rRNA from 1 species
GACGAACGCUGGCGGCGUGCUUAACACAUGCAAGUCGAACGAUGAACCUCGAAAUGACAUCUUCGGAAGGAUUUUCGAGAGGAUUAGUGGCGAACGGGUGAGUAACGCGUGAGCAACCUGCCUUAGACAAGGGGAUAGCCUCGGGAAACCGUGAUUAAUACCCUAUGAGACUCCGCCUACGAGUGUAGAAGAAGUUAAAGCGAUAGCGGUCUAAGAUGGGCUCGCGUCUGAUUAGCUAGUUGGUGAGAUAAAAGCCCACCAAGGCAACGAUCAGUAACCGGCUUGAGAGAGUGAACGGUCACAUUGGAACUGAGACACGGUCCAAACUCCUACGGGAGGCAGCAGUGGGGAAUAUUGCACAAUGGGGGGAACCCUGAUGCAGCGACGCCGCGUGAGCGAUGAAGGAAUUCGUUUCGUAAAGCUCUGUCCUUGGAGAAGAUAAUGACGGUAACCAAGGAGGAAGCACCGGCU